rnacentral:pre_miRNA from 1 species
GUUUACCCGUGUGUGGAUGCUGUUCAGCACCAGGGACAGGGAUAUUUACCUGUGUGUGGAUGGUGUUCAGCACCAUGGACACACGAACGCGA